CAUUUCCGACGUUUGGUAAGCCAAAGAAAUAGGAAACACGGAGAAAUCAGAUUUCUCAGGAAAUGAGUUUGUUCGUGACUUCAUUUCCACCCAAUUUGUAAAGAAAUGGAAGUUCAAUACAAACAUUUCUCCGUGUCCAUAUCUAAGAAAUGUGUCAAUAAUUGAAAAUUGAAGAUAUAAAUAUGCAAGCACGUGCAAGUCACAUUCCUUGUGAGAAAAGAACAAACUCUACCUCUCUUUUUUCUUUUCUUUUUCUCUGGCGAUUUUUGGCAAAAAGUGCCCUUUCCACUCUCUUGCUUUAAUCGGCCAUCAAGUAAAGAUUUGCUUUCUAGUUUGGAUCUUCACUUGUGAGCUUCUAUCCAUGAAUGUCAGAUGCAACCACAGUUAAAGGUCAGUUGAGAAGCAACAGAAUUUGGUUACCAGAUAAGAUGAAAAGAUAAUGGAUGCAUUAAACGAGUUACACAUAACAGGAAAGUAUUCCACGGAUAAUGAAUUCAAACUCGGCUAUCAUCAAGCGUUUUAGGAUCUGUGUAUUUUUUUUUUUUGGUAAUCCAUUUGUGUUUAUCUAUUUUCGAGACUUUGUUUUUGUUUCCACUUUCAUUUGUUAAAGUUAAGUUAAACAUAUAGAAUGGUUAUAAAAAACAA